ACGGGAGGCAGCAGUGAGGAAUAUUGGUCAAUGGGCGAGAGCCUGAACCAGCCAAGUAGCGUGAAGGACGACGGCCCUAUGGGUCUUAAACUUCUUUUGUUUGGGAAUAAAGUCAGGGACGCGUCCCUGUUUGUAUGUACCUUACGAAUAAGCAUCGGCUAAUUCCGUGCCAGCAGCCGCGGUAAUACGGAAGAUGCGAGCGUUAUCCGGAUUUAUUGGGUUUAAAGGGAGCGUAGGCGGCCUUUUAAGUCAGCGGUUAAAUGUCAGCGCCCAACGUUGGCAUGCCGUUGAAACUGGAGGGCUUGAAUACACACAAGGUAAGUGGAAUUCGUCGUGUAGCGGUGAAAUGCUUAGAUAUGACGAAGAACUCCGAUUGCGAAGGCAGCUUACUGGGGUGCGAUUGACGCUGAGGCUCGAAAGUGCGGGAAUCAAACAGGAUUAGAUACCCUGGUA
rnacentral:rRNA from 1 species